CUCCUGCAACUUUUAGAUGUAUCUCUACUUCAACACACCUGAGUCAAAUAAUGAGGUCAUUAGCAGGACUCUGGAGAACUUGACUGCACUUAGGAGGUGAGUCAGCUGUUGGAUCCAAGAGUGUUUCAAGGGAGACAUCUAAGAGUAGCAGGACACCGGCCCUCGAGGACCAGGAUUGCCCACCCCUGCACCAGAGUCUGUGUG